GGGUUGUGAGGUUAAGCGACUAAGCGUACACGGUGGAUGCCCUGGCAGUCAGAGGCGAUGAAGGGCGUGCUAAUCUGCGAUAAGCGCCGGUAAGGUGAUAUGAACCGUUAUAACCGGCGAUACCCGAAUGGGGAAACCCAGUGUGACUCGUCACACUAUCAUUAACUGAAUCCAUAGGUUAAUGAGGCGAACCGGGGGAACUGAAACAUCUAAGUACCCCGAGGAAAAGAAAUCAACCGAGAUUCCCCCAGUAGCGGCGAGCGAACGGGGAGGAGCCCAGAGCCUGAAUCAGCAUAUGUGUUAGUGGAAGCGUCUGGAAAGGCGCGCGAUACAGGGUGACAGCCCCGUACACAAAAGCGCAUGUGCUGUGAGCUCGAUGAGUAGGGCGGGACACGUGGUAUCCUGUCUGAAUAUGGGGGGACCAUCCUCCAAGGCUAAAUACUCCUGACUGACCGAUAGUGAACCAGUACCGUGAGGGAAAGGCGAAAAGAACCCCGGCGAGGGGAGUGAAAAAGAACCUGAAACCGUGUACGUACAAGCAGUGGGAGCACAGGUUUACCUGUGUGACUGCGUACCUUUUGUAUAAUGGGUCAGCGACUUAUAUUCUGUAGCAAGGUUAACCGAAUAGGGGAGCCGGAGGGAAACCGAGUCUUAAUUGGGCGUUAAGUUGCAGGGUAUAGACCCGAAACCCGGUGAUCUAGCCAUGGGCAGGUUGAAGGUUGGGUAACACUAACUGGAGGACCGAACCGACUAAUGUUGAAAAAUUAGCGGAUGACCUGUGGCUGGGGGUGAAAGGCCAAUCAAACCGGGAGAUAGCUGGUUCUCCCCGAAAGCUAUUUAGGUAGCGCCUCGUGAAUUCAUCUCCGGGGGUAGAGCACUGUUUCGGCUAGGGGGCCAUCCCGGCUUACCAACCCGAUGCAAACUGCGAAUACCGGAGAAUGUUAUCACGGGAGACACACGGCGGGUGCUAACGUCCGUCGUGAAGAGGGAAACAACCCAGACCGCCAGCUAAGGUCCCAAAGUCAUGGUUAAGUGGGAAACGAUGUGGGAAGGCCCAGACAGCCAGGAUGUUGGCUUAGAAGCAGCCAUCAUUUAAAGAAAGCGUAAUAGCUCACUGGUCGAGUCGGCCUGCGCGGAAGAUGUAACGGGGCUAAACCAUGCACCGAAGCUGCGGCAGCGACGCUGAUGCGUUGUUGGGUAGGGGAGCGUUCUGUAAGCCUGCGAAGGUGGCCUGUGAGGGUUGCUGGAGGUAUCAGAAGUGCGAAUGCUGACAUAAGUAACGAUAAAGCGGGUGAAAAGCCCGCUCGCCGGAAGACCAAGGGUUCCUGUCCAACGUUAAUCGGGGCAGGGUGAGUCGACCCCUAAGGCGAGGCCGAAAGGCGUAGUCGAUGGGAAACGGGUUAAUAUUCCCGUACUUGGUGUUACUGCGAAGGGGGGACGGAGAAGGCUAUGUUGGCCGGGCGACGGUUGUCCCGGUUUAAGCGUGUAGGUGUGUGUUCCAGGUAAAUCCGGUUCACUUUAACACUGAGGCGUGAUGACGAGGCACUACGGUGCUGAAGCAACAAAUGCCCUGCUUCCAGGAAAAGCCUCUAAGCAUCAGGUAACAUCAAAUCGUACCCCAAACCGACACAGGUGGUCAGGUAGAGAAUACCAAGGCGCUUGAGAGAACUCGGGUGAAGGAACUAGGCAAAAUGGUGCCGUAACUUCGGGAGAAGGCACGCUGACACGUAGGUGAAGUGAUUUACUCAUGGAGCUGAAGUCAGUCGAAGAUACCAGCUGGCUGCAACUGUUUAUUAAAAACACAGCACUGUGCAAACACGAAAGUGGACGUAUACGGUGUGACGCCUGCCCGGUGCCGGAAGGUUAAUUGAUGGGGUCAGCGCAAGCGAAGCUCCUGAUCGAAGCCCCGGUAAACGGCGGCCGUAACUAUAACGGUCCUAAGGUAGCGAAAUUCCUUGUCGGGUAAGUUCCGACCUGCACGAAUGGCGUAAUGAUGGCCAGGCUGUCUCCACCCGAGACUCAGUGAAAUUGAACUCGCUGUGAAGAUGCAGUGUACCCGCGGCAAGACGGAAAGACCCCGUGAACCUUUACUAUAGCUUGACACUGAACAUUGAGCCUUGAUGUGUAGGAUAGGUGGGAGGCUUUGAAGUGUGGACGCCAGUCUGCAUGGAGCCGGCCUUGAAAUACCACCCUUUAAUGUUUGAUGUUCUAACGUGGACCCGUGAUCCGGGUUGCGGACAGUGUCUGGUGGGUAGUUUGACUGGGGCGGUCUCCUCCUAAAGAGUAACGGAGGAGCACGAAGGUUGGCUAAUCCUGGUCGGACAUCAGGAGGUUAGUGCAAUGGCAUAAGCCAGCUUGACUGCGAGCGUGACGGCGCGAGCAGGUGCGAAAGCAGGUCAUAGUGAUCCGGUGGUUCUGAAUGGAAGGGCCAUCGCUCAACGGAUAAAAGGUACUCCGGGGAUAACAGGCUGAUACCGCCCAAGAGUUCAUAUCGACGGCGGUGUUUGGCACCUCGAUGUCGGCUCAUCACAUCCUGGGGCUGAAGUAGGUCCCAAGGGUAUGGCUGUUCGCCAUUUAAAGUGGUACGCGAGCUGGGUUUAGAACGUCGUGAGACAGUUCGGUCCCUAUCUGCCGUGGGCGCUGGAGAACUGAGGGGGGCUGCUCCUAGUACGAGAGGACCGGAGUGGACGCAUCACUGGUGUUCGGGUUGUCAUGCCAAUGGCACUGCCCGGUAGCUAAAUGCGGAAGAGAUAAGUGCUGAAAGCAUCUAAGCACGAAACUUGCCCCGAGAUGAGUUCUCCCUGAGACUUAGAGUCUCCUGAAGGAACGUUGAAGACGACGACGUUGAUAGGCCGGGUGUGUAAGCGCAGCGAUGCGUUGAGCUAACCGGUACUAAUGAACCGUGAGGCUUAACCUUACAACGCCGAAG
rnacentral:rRNA from 1 species